UACGGGGGGAGCAAGCGUUGUUCGGAUUUACUGGGCGUAAAGGGCGCGUAGGCGGCCACUGCAAGUCAGUUGUGAAAUCUCCGGGCUUAACCCGGAAAGGUCAACUGAUACUGCAGGGCUAGAGUGCGGAAGGGGCUACUGGAAUUCUCGGUGUAGCGGUGAAAUGCGUAGAUAUCGAGAGGAACACCUGCGGCGAAGGCGGGUAGCUGGGCCGACACUGACGCUGAGGCGCGAAAGCCAGGGGAGCGAACGGG
rnacentral:rRNA from 1 species